UUUAGACACUAUAAAAAGAUCAAAUUAUAUUUUUAUUUUUACCUAAAGGGAAAAAUAUGAGUAAAAUUCUUAUUGAUGUUAUAAUUCUAUUCUAUUUCCUAUUUAUUGUUGCAAGAGAAAUUGAAGCAGUUGUUUAUGAAUGUGAUGAUGAUGAUGAUUGUCCCCAAAAAUUACUUCCGGAAUAUUUUGUUAUGAGGUGCAUUAAUUACAAAUGUGUUCUUGUUGACACUGAAGAAUAUCCAUUCAAAAGGAAAACACUAUGAAGAACUUGAAUAUCAUGUUAUACAAAUGCCAUGAAGAAGAAGAAUUGGUUCUUUGUUCUCACAAAUAUUAUUAAUGAAAAGAAAGAAAAAAAAUAGUAAAGAGUAUUAUUUAGAUUGUUUUUAUUUCUUUUAUAUAUUUUGUACAUCACCAUGCAUGACCUCCAAUUCAAGUAUAUCGCAUUUUCUUUCAACUUCACCAUCUAUAUCAUAAUAUCUUUAUUAGUUAAAUUGAUAAUAAUUUUAGUUUAA